rnacentral:rRNA from 1 species
CACGUAGGGUGCAAGCGUUGUCCGGAAUUAUUGGGCGUAAAGAGCUCGUAGGCGGUCUGUCGCGUCGGAUGUGAAAAUCAGGGCUCAACCCUGGACCUGCAUUCGAUACGGGCAGACUAGAGUUCGGCAGGGGAGACUGGAAUUCCUGGUGUAGCGGUGAAAUGCGCAGAUAUCAGGAGGAACACCGGUGGCGAAGGCGGGUCUCUGGGCCGAGUGACUGACGCUGGAGGAGCGAAAGCGUGGGGAGGCAAACAGGA